GUGGGGAAUAUUGGACAAUGGGCGAAAGCCUGAUCCAGCCAUGCCGCGUGUGUGAAGAAGGUCUUCGGAUUGUAAAGCACUUUAAGUUGGGAGGAAGGGCAGUAAGUUAAUACCUUGCUGUUUUGACGUUACCGACAGAAUAAGCACCGGCUAACUUCGUGCCAGCAGCCGCGGUAAUACGAAGGGUGCAAGCGUUAAUCGGAAUUACUUGGCGUAAAGCGCGCGUAGGUGGUUUUGUAAGUUGGAGGUGAAAUCCCCGGGCUAAACCUGGGAACUGCCUCCAAAACUGCAGGACUGGAGUACGGUAGAGGGUAGUGGAAUUGCCUGUGUAGCGGUGAAAUGCGUAGAUAUAGGAAGGAACACCAGUGGCGAAGGCGACUACCUGGACUGAUACUGACACUGAGGUGCGAAAGCGUGGGAAGCAAACAGGAUUAGAAACCCGUGUAGUCC
rnacentral:rRNA from 1 species